rnacentral:rRNA from 1 species
AGAACGAACGCUGGCGGCAGGCUUAACACAUGCAAGUCGAACGCCCCGCAAGGGGAGUGGCAGACGGGUGAGUAACGCGUGGGAAUCUACCUGGUUCUACGGAAUAACACAGGGAAACUUGUGCUAAUACCGUAUACGCCCUAUGGGGGAAAGAUUUAUCGGUGCCAGAUGAGCCCGCGUAAGAUUAGCUAGUUGGUGGGGUAACGGCCUACCAAGGCGACGAUCUUUAGCUGGUCUGAGAGGAUGAUCAGCCACACUGGGACUGAGACACGGCCCAGACUCCUACGGGAGGCAGCAGUGGGGAAUAUUGGACAAUGGGCGAAAGCCUGAUCCAGCCAUGCCGCGUGAGUGAUGAAGGCCUUAGGGUUGUAAAGCUCUUUCAGUGGGGAAGAUAAAUGACGGUACCCACAGAAGAAGCCCGGCUAACUUCGUGCCAGCAGCCGC